GACAGCCUAUUUCUUGUGCUUCAAAGAACAUAUUCCUAAUAAUUUGGGCCACUAUUUUGUUCCAUUCUAGUGUUUUUAUUGUGUGUGGAAAAAUCCUUCAGGUUAAUUCCUCAGUUUUACUCAGAACUAGAAUGCCUGGCAGUGUGAGGUCAGUGUUAUCACCAAUUCUCAACCAGCAUCAGGAAGGACCACACUUAACCCAGCUGUGACUGAUAAAUAACUCCUGGCUUAGCAGAAACUGUGAGCUUGUGUGCGAUGGUUAAGCAAUGUAAUAAAGGAACCAGCUCUAGUGGAGAGACUCUGAGCUCCAGAAGACUCACUGAGGAUGUCACCUUUGCUAGGAGAACAAACCCUAGAUAGCUUUCUGGAAGAUGAGAGACCACAUGGAACAGAGACCAAUGAUCUCGGCUGAAGACAACUUCAACCAGUUCCCGGCUGACCCACCAACUGACCACAGAUGCAAGAGUGAGCUUAACCAAGAUCAGCUGAGGUUGGCCCAGAUCAGCAGAACCACCAACCCAGUCCUAAGUUCACA
rnacentral:lncRNA from 10 species